rnacentral:lncRNA from 1 species
CCUUAAGCAUGCAGAUAAAUGCUAUUCAUCUCAGUCCUAUUGUUUGGGUGCAAAAGAAUAUCUUUUGGAUAAAAGAUUUGAAGCACAAGAUAAGAAGCUUUUAGAUUCAAACAGUGUUACAUCCAAACCUGCAGCAGCUAUAGUGCAACCAUGAAAUUACAAAGCAACAUGCC